GUGAAUCAUCGAAUCUUUGAACGCACCUUGCGCCUUUUGGUAUUCCGAAAGGCAUGCCUGUUUGAGUGUCAUGAAAUCUCAAUCCCCCCGGGUUUAUGAUCUGGGUUGGGACUUGGACUUGGGUGCUGCCGGUUACAUGGCUCGCCUCAAAUGACUUAGUGGAUCUCUCUGCAUCCGUGACAGACGUAAUAAGUUUCGUCUUGUCCCUUGCUGUCUGAGUCUGCUCCUAACCUGCCAUUGUGCACUUUUAGACUCUGACCUCAAAUCAGGUAGGACUACCCGCUGAACUUAAGCAUAUCA
rnacentral:misc_RNA from 1 species